CUGCGAACGGCUCAUUAAAUCACUUAUAGUUUAUUUGAUGGUACCUUNACUACAUGGNAUAACUGUGGUAAUUCUAGAGCUAAUACAUGCNCUAAAAGCCCCNNNUUCNNACNNNGGGGGUGUAUUUAUUAGAUAAAAGACCGUUGGGUUUCNNNGGCCCUCUUGGUGAAUCAUGAUAACUGCUCGAAUCGCAUGGCCUUGCGCCGGCGAUGCUUCAUUCAAAUACCUGCCCUAUCAACUUUCGAUGGUAGGAUAGUGGCCUACCAUGGUUGCGACGGGUAACGGGGAAUUAGGGUUCGAUUCCGGAGAGAGAGCCUGAGAAACGGCUCUCAUGACUAAGGUNCAGCAGCAGGCGCGCAAAUUAUCCNACUCGCAAUACNNNGCGGAGAUAGUGACAAUAAAUAACAAUAGAGGGCUCUUUUGGGUCUUCUAAUUGGAAUGAGUACAAUCUAAAUCCCUUAACGAGGAUCAAUUGGAGGGCAAGUCUGGUGCCAGCAGCCGCGGUAAUUCCAGCUCCAAUAGCGUAUAUUAAAUUUGCUGUGGUUAAAAAGCUCGUAGUCGAACUUCGGGCCACCGCAGGCCGGUCCGCCUUUUUUNNNGGUGUGUACUGGACCCUGUGGUGGNCUUCACUUCCUGGUGAACACGUCUGUCGUUUAUUCGGUGGGNNNCGUGGGAACCCGGACUUUUACNUUUNNNNNGAAUAAAUCAGAGUGUUCAAANGCAGGCAUGUUUNNNGCCCGAAUGUUUCAGCAUGGAAUAAUAGAACAAGACGCGUGUCUCNUAUUGNGUCNNUUUUUNNNAGAGGCACCGUAAUGAUGAAUAGGGGCGGUCGGGGGNCAUUCGUAUUCAAUUGCUAGAGGUGAAAUUCUUGGAUUUAUUGAAGACGAACUACUGCGAAAGCAUUUGCCAAGGACGCUUUCAUUGAUCAAGNAACGAAGGUCGGGGGAUCGAAAACGAUUAGAUACCGUNGUAGUCUCGACAGUAAACGAUGUGGAUCGGGGAUUGGUGAGGGUUUCAUUUUNAUGACCUCAUCAGCACCCAAAGCGAAAU
rnacentral:rRNA from 1 species